rnacentral:lncRNA from 1 species
GCUCAUUAGAGCCUGCUAUGACACCUAGUUAGAUUCAUUAGUGCACAAACAAAGGUUUAAGCUGCAGAAGACAGGCAUAUAGUUCCAUCUGCAGUGGUUUUUAAGUGAGCAAAAGGAAAAGGGAGCAGUUAAGAAAGAAAAUGGUAUUGCAAAAGUGCCAUGAGGGAAAUUAAUUCAUUACUGGCUGCUUACCUCAAAAAAAAAAAAAAAUUCUCCUUGGGCCACUUAUAUUAUAAAUAAGCAUCUAAAAAUCAUAAAAUCCAAAAGGAAAUAAUCAAAGCCUCAGAACUUGCUUUCUGAUCUCUAACAAGACUUUUGCUUUAGGAUUACCAGUCUCAAGCCCAUAAAGCAGCUCUCCAUCAAGGGAUAUUUUUGCUAAUCUGCUUUCCAACAGGAUGGCCUGCAGCAGGACUAUGAGAUGAUAUCCUCUUUUAAAGGAUGCUGCCAAACUUUAUUUUUUUUAAUAUUACUUCUAACCUCAUUUGUGUUAACAUUUUAGGUUAUUAAUAAAAAGAAUAUUAACCUCCUAAUUUCUUGGCCCUAUUUAUAUAAUGUGUUUCUUUUUGACCCGGCCAAAUACAAUGGCCUAGAUGAUUUCAUUUCAUUUUUUCAGCUGCUAGCACAACAGCACUGAAUAUAAUAAUAUAGCUAUGAUGGCAGCUCCUUACAACAGGAAGGGAGUUCCUGGGAACUCCUUUCAAAGGGACUUCCUACACUGGCACCCUGAGCGAGGAGUGGACUGGGGCACACUCCUUUCCUGAGCAGGGAUGGGAAGCCAGGAGGAAGUCACUGCCUCAGGAUUGCUCAGUUGGAAGGAGGUAGGAAGCCAGAACCAGAGGAACUGGGCACAAGAGGUGCUGUCCUGGCUUGUGGCUCUGCUGGUGGAGAAGUGGUGAAGGGUAGAGAAGCAGAUGCAGCACAACACUCUCAGGGUUCUCUUCCUCAAUCCUGUGUCUGCAGCAUCCCUCAGCUUCUCCAGAGAGGAACCCCUUACCACAGGCAAGGGGUCUAGAAGGCUACAGCUGACACUGGAAGGAAAGGUGAUCUAGCACAGGCAGAGUUACACGGUAAUGAAAAAAUUCUUUUUUGUUUUUUCUGGUUUACCACUACUGUCUCAGAAUAAUCUACAUUAGCCAAUGUAGGAAUUCCAAUGACAGCAGCACAUGUCUACAAUAUUUUUAACACAGUUUUGACUUUAAAAGGAGGAACAAGUUAGUUGUAGGAGAACUGAAGAUAAAGUUAUAAAUGAUUUAAAUGUUG